GAUGAACGCUAGCGGCAGGCCUAACACAUGCAAGUCGAGGGGUAGUUACUUUCGGGUAAUGAGACCGGCGCACGGGUGCGUAACGCGUAUGCAAUCUACCUUUUACAGGGGAAUAGCCCAGAGAAAUUUUGGAUUAAUGCCCCAUAGUAUGUAUGAAUCGCAUGGUUUAUACAUUAAAGUUCCAACGGUAAAAGAUGAGCAUGCGUCCCAUUAGUUAGUUGGUAAGGUAACGGCUUACCAAGACGAUGAUGGGUAGGGGUCCCUGAGAGGGAGAUCCCCCCACACUGGUACUGAGACACGGACCAGACUCCUACGGGAGCAGCAGUGAGGAAUAUUGGACAAUGGGCGCAAGCCUGAUCCAGCCAUGCCGCGUGCAGGAAGAAGCAUCUAUGGUGUGUAAAACUGCUUUUGUACGGGAAGAAACACUCCUACGUGUAGAGCUUGACGGUACCGUAAGAAUAAGGAUCGGUUAAACUCCGUGCCAGCAG
rnacentral:rRNA from 1 species